rnacentral:lncRNA from 1 species
AGGUGGGGGUGUUGGUGAAGGUUUUACUAUUAUUGCAGAAUUAUCUGAAGUGCAAUUUCUAACGCUGACCAAAUUCAUGCUGUGACUGUGGAAACUGGUGCUCGAGGUCCCUGCAAAUGAUAGAGGUAGUCCUGUUUCAAAACGCCAUCAAGCAUCCUUCUGAGCUGCGGACAGUCAUCGGACCAGUCUUCAGCCGUGCGCAUGACAGCAGCAGUGACAGCACACCACUUUGCUCAUGAUACGGAUCAAGAGAAGAAGGAAAACACAACGGAGCACAAGAAACGCAUUUACAAUGCAAGGUUUCCCAGGAGCACGGACUCUUAA